AGUUCGAUUCUGGCUCAGGACGAACGCUGGCGGCGUGCUUAACACAUGCAAGUCGAACGGGGAUCAUAUGGAUGAGCGCUUCGGCAGGAAUCCGAAUGAUUCGAGUGGCGGACGGGUGAGUAACGCGUGAGCAACCUGUCCCAGACAGGGGGAUAACACUUGGAAACAGGUGCUAAUACCGCAUGAGACCACAGUAUCGCAUGGUACAGGGGUAAAAGGAGAGAUCCGGUUUGGGGUGGGCUCGCGUCCGAUUAGAUAGUUGGUGAGGUAACGGCCCACCAAGUCGACGAUCGGUAGCCGACCUGAGAGGGUGAUCGGCCACAUUGGAACUGAGAGACGGUCCAAACUCCUACGGGAGGCAGUAGUGGGGAAUAUUGGGCAAUGGGCGAAAAAGCCUGACCCAGCAACGCCGCGUGAGUGAAGAAGGCUUUCGGGUUGUAAAGCUCUGUUAUAGGGGACGAAGGAAGUGGCGGUACCCUAUAAGGAAGCCCCGGCUAACUACGUGCCAGCCGCAGC
rnacentral:rRNA from 1 species